rnacentral:lncRNA from 13 species
UUUAUAUUCCCAUUGCAACAUCUCUGCCAAAUUGUCUUCUAGCUCAUAACUGAACAUCUCCAGAGGAUGAGGUUCAGUAUAUUAUGAGGUGUAGCCUAUAGUAUCUUUUGUGUGCUCUAAUUGUUAGAAAGUUCUCUCUAUAUUUGAAGUAAAGUCUACCUUCCUAUAGUGAUUCUCUACUUUGCUUCUCCCUUUCCCCCACUGUGGAGCCUUAUGGGCGUGGGCUUAUACCCUGUAAUCACUUUCCUAGAGCUGGCGAUCAAUUUUCCUAAUAGCACAUAGCAGAUGUUUGUGUGUGUGUGUGUGUGAGUGUGAGUGUGUGUGUGUGAGUGAGUGUGUGUGUGUGCAUGCAUGUGCGUGCACACAUUCCGGCUUAGCUAUCUCCUCCCAUACUUCCUGACCCUCCUCCUUUUCUGGCAGUAGCACCUUCCUGUGGGCAGUCUGUAUAGGAGGGCCAUAGAUCACAAUAUCCUGUUCUUUGCCUCCCAGCCUCUACCAUGCUGCAGGAAGUCCAAGGAUGACCCUGACAUCCCAUCCUUCAGACUUUGGAAAUUGGUCCACAGAUGACUUCCAGUACAAUCUUGAAAAGCAGUGGUGAGAAGGGGCACCCACACCUUACUCCUCAUCUUAGGAGGAAAGCAUGUAAGUUUCUUGCCAUUAAAUACGAAGUUAGCUGCAGGUUUUAUUUGUAGAUAUUCUUGAUCAAAUUGAGGAAAUUUCCCCAUUCCCAGUUUACUGAGAAUUUUAAAAAAUCAUAAAUGGGUGUUAGAUUUUGUCAAAUGCUUUUUCUGUAUCUAUUGAUAAAAUAUAAUUUUUAAAAUCUAGCUAGUUUAUAUGGUAGAAUAUAUUAGUCAAUUUUCAAAUGCUGAACCAGCUUUUUAUAUCUGGUAUAAAUCCCACUUGGUUGUGUUUUGUAAUUCUUUUAUACAUUGCUGAAUUCAAUUUACUAAUAUUUUGUUGAGAAUUUUUACAUCUCUGUUUAUGAGACAUAUUGUUCUGUAGUUUUCCUUUCUUACAAUAUCUUUAUCUGGUUUUGGUAUUAGGGCAAGUCUGGCCUCAUAUAAGUUAAGAAGUGUUCAUUCUGCUUCUAUGUUUUGGAAGAGAUCAUAAAGAGUUGAUAUCAUUUCUUCAUUAAAUGUUUGGUAAAAUUCACAAUAAAACCAUUUGGGCCUGAUGCUAUGUUUUUUUG